CCCUUAGAUGUCCGGGGCCGCACGCGCGCUACACUGAAUGAAUCAGCGUGGCUUUCUCCCUGACCCGAAAGGGUUGGGAAACCCGUUGAAUCUCCUUCGUGAUAGGGAUUGGGGCUUGAAAUUGUUCCCCAUGAACGAGGAAUUCCCAGUAAGCGCGAGUCAUAAGCUCGCGUUGAUUACGUCCCUGCCCUUUGUACACACCGCCCGUCGCUACUACCGAUUGAACGGUUUAGUGAGGGCCUCGGAUUGGUCUCGGCCCGCUCUUUACCGGGCGGCGCCGUUGGUCGAGAAGACGCUCGAACUUGAUCGUUUAGAGGAAGUAAAAGUCGUAACA
rnacentral:rRNA from 1 species